UAGCCUUGACAUACUACAGAAUUUGACAGAGAUGUUGAAGUGCCUUCGGGAGCUGUAAUACAGGUGCUGCACGGCUGUCGUCAGCUCGUGUCGUGAGAUGUUGGGUUAAGUCCCGCAACGAGCGCAACCCUCGUCCUUAGUUACUAACGGUUCGGCCGAGGACUCUAGUGAGACUGCCUUCGUAAGGAGGAGGAAGGUGAGGACGACGUCAAGUCAUCAUGGCCCUUACGGCUAGGGCAACACACGUGCUACAAUGGCCAGGACAGUGAGACGCGAUACCGUGAGGUGGAGCAAAUCUAUAAACCUGGUCUCAGUUCGGAUUGUAGUCUGCAACUCGACUACAUGAAGCUGGAAUCACUAGUAAUCGUAGAUCAGCUAUGCUACGGUGAAUACGUUCCCGGGUCU
rnacentral:rRNA from 1 species